rnacentral:rRNA from 1 species
UACGUAGGGACCGAGCGUUGUCCGGAAUCAUUGGGCGUAAAGAGCGUGUAGGCGGCCCCUUAAGUCCUGCGUGAAAUCCUGCGGCUCAACCGCAGACGGUCGUGGGAAACUGGAGGGCUAGAGUGCGGGAGAGGAGAGUGUAAUUCCCGGUGUAGCGGUGAAAUGCGUAGAUAUCGAGAGGAACACCUGAGGUGAAGACGGGUUGCUGGGCUGACACUGACGCUGAGGCGCGAAAGCCAGGGGAGCAAACGGG